CACUUUCUCCAUUUAUCCCACCUUUCACGCCCCUUCUCCAUUUUCCCCACUGACAUUUCCAAUAUCCUCCUCCAUCAUCUGCACACACACACAAAAAAUAACAACACAAUUAUAGAGGUAGGGACAGACUCCAUUCCCAUAUAAAAAGAGAGAGAACACGCGAAAAAAGGGGGAAGAAGGAGCAGCCAAACCAGCUGCAAAUUUUCUAAAAACCAGACUGAAAAACCCAGAAAAGUUGUCCCAAAAUCAGCACCAAAAACCCGACAAACCACCGUCCAAAACUAGCCACAAACAUCCAUCGAAACGACCCAUUUUACACCAGAACCAGCUGUCCAAAUCUAGUCGAGUCGGUAUAGUUUUCGUUGAGAUCUUGGUUUGAGGUCACCAUUGAGGUUAUGAUCGAUUGGCUCUGUUGCGUUUAAAGAACUGUUUGUUGAUAGCACUAUUUGCUUGCUGAUUCCUGCUGGCUUUAUUGGUUAUAACUUGUAAAGAGCCUUAUGAGUUGGACUUUGCAUUUUCUUUGUGCAAUGUUUUUGCAUCAGGUAUUCCCCUUUACCUUUAAUAGUGUAAAACUUGGAAUGAAGUUUAUGGAAUAUGAGUUUAUUUUAGCUAUCCGAACUUGUCUGUAUUAUCUGAAAUAUGAUUUAAGUUGAUUGGUACCAAGAAUGAAUACUUGGAUAUUAGAGUUCAUUCGUACGUAGUUCAUAAACUUUAAAAAUAGUUUUUUAUGUGUAAAUAACAAACUUGUGAUGUUGUGCUUUUAUUUUUCUUUCCGAAGUUCCAAAAUAUAACAAAAUGUGUUAGAAGUUUCUGGCAAUGUUCUUUAGGUGUUUUGUGUUAAUAAACUUUGAAGAGGGAUGUUUAAAUUAUCGGACUAGGCAACAUGUUUGUUUUAUUCUUUGUUUUUCAUUAGUAUGCUAAGAGCAGAUUGAGCAAAAGAAAAAAAAUUGUUGUAUUUAUUUGGAACUAUAAAACUUAUAGUUUAAAUAGAAAAUUGGUUUUAAAGUCCAUAAAUUGUAGUAGAUCUGUCUUUAAGUCUUCGUGUUAGAAUAGAGUUCUUUAGGAAUUUAAAGUAAAAGUUUUACAAAAUGUAUUUCUCAUUAAGUCAGCAAUGUUUUCCUUUUUGUUUUUUUUUUAAAUUACCAAUAGAAAUGAAAUCAAGUAUAUUCUUUAGACUCUUGAAGCUGGAUGCCAUGAAUAAUUUUAGAGGAAUACUUUAUUAAGUUAACUGAGAAAAAAAAAUUCUUUUCUAAGGAUAUUUCUAAUUGUUGAAAAGAGAUGGUGGGUCCGUUAUUUAGUUAUUGAUUUGAUGGUCUAAAUCCAAUUAUGUCUAAGUUUUGAUUAAACUAGUCAUGUGUUGUAGCGGAGAAUUUACAGAAAAGAAAAAUAACAAAUGAGUUGAUACUAAAACUGUAUUUUUGGGUUUUAUUUUGUUGAAUAAAAAUAGGAAUUAGACCAAAAGUAAUUACUAAGCUCACUUCCAUAAUAAACAAAGUUGUUUCAUUGCUUCCUAAAAAAAUGGGAAAAGAAAAUGAAAGUCGGCCCAAAGUGUCAAAAUCGACAAAGGCUUUUAGUGAUUUUUUUUAGUAAAAUUAGUUUAGUUCCCUAGGCAAUUUUAUGCGCGUCCUCAAGUAUUGACCAAGUGUUCAUACACGAUCCUUGAUUAAUAUCAAAUAAUAAAUGAUCAUGUGUGCAUCUCCGCUCCUUGACUCGUCAAUAGUAAAUUGUGUUUGACCAUGUGUUCAUACCCGUUCCUUGGCUAAAUGCAUGUCAUCAAAUAAAAACCUUUUGUGCUUACACGCUCCUAGGCACCUGUUAAUAAAACUUAAUUAUCUAUUAAGCAAUACUAGACAAUAAUAAUUUAAGGCAAAUAAAUCACAGUUUAUCCAGAAUUAAUUCAAGCCAAGUUUAAGUCAAUAAAGAGACCGUGCUAGAACCACGAGACUCGGGGAAUGCCUUACACCUUCUCCCUGAUCAACAGAAUUCCUUACCCGAAUUUUGUUUUCGCAGACCAACAUAAAAAGAGUCAAAUCUUCCUUUGAAUAGGGAUUUCAAAUAAAAGGUGACUUGGAACACCCAAAAAAUCAAAUUUCAAGUAGCGACUCUGUAAAUAAAAUAACCCCUACUCAAAUUUAUCACUUUAAAUUGGAAAAAACUAUUUAAUCCACAAUCCAUAACUUUUUACGUUAUAUUUUGGAGGGGUAAACAGGGGGUGUGACAUCCACUAUCUUUGCUUCAUUGCAGUCCGCUUCCUUUCAUUGUUUCCUGCACAUGCAAAUCAUGAGUUAGAUUUAGGAACCCAAACCAGUUUGGGUCCCUUGUUAUGAUAAAAGGGAUGGAUAUGAGCUUUUCUAGUCCAUGCAGGCAAUAUUCGUUUCUUGCGACGGGUACCUGGUCCCUUGUUAGUAGUCACUUUAUCAGUAAACACUUUGUUUUUCUUAACAGAUUGAGCCCUGGCCUGGCAAUUUUCUUUGAAGUGCUCAUUUUUCCCACAGUGUGUACACUGCCAGUUAUUAAGAACAUUGACGUACUUGCUGUGAGGGUUGUAAGGAGUUUUCUCCCUUUGGAACCCGAUCCCUUCCUGUUUUCACUGUUAUUCAAGUACAUGGCAGUCACAUCAUCUGAGGACCAGAUCCACUUUCGAGAUUUCUCAAGAUCACCUUUGAUUUUCUCUAAUUCAGCUUGAAGUUGUCGAUUUUUCUCAAGUUCACCACAUAGACUGGUUUUCACAUCGUUUAACUCAUGUUCAAGCUUGAUGUGUGUGUCACUAACUACUUUUUUCCCUUUCCCAAGGCUUACAGUCCUAUGUUCUCUAUUGAGUCCCUCAAUGAUUUCCACUAGGUCAGUAAUUAUCACUAAACAAUCAUCCCUCUCUUGCUCAGUAGCUAAACUUUUUCCUUCUAGAGUGUGUUUCUCAUUACUAAGACCUUCUACUGUUUCCUUCAAGUCAGCCACCACUACCAUCAGGUCAUCUCUCUCAUUUUCUGCACUAGUUAUUUUUUCAUUUAGAGCUUCCUUUUUUUUCAAGAUUAGCUAUGGUCUUAUUUAGGUCCACUACACAAACAACCAGAUCAUCUCUAGAUUGUUCAGCUUCUCCUAGUUCUAAGGUCAGGAUCUCCUUAUCAUUAUCAAGGCUAUAAUAAACAUCAAUUAAAAUAUUGGCUAAUGACCUUAACUUCUUAGAAGAGUAGGAUUUCAUAUUUCUCUGAACAUCCCUGAAGUUUACCUCAUCAUCUUCAUCUUCUUCAUCCUCAUCAGACCGAGCCAUCAACGCAAACAGUGAGUCAUACUUCGUUGCUUUAGUUUCCACUUCCAUCAUGGAACUAUUUUCUGCAUCUGAUUCCCUUUCUGAUUCACUGGAGGAAUCUCCCUAAGCAGCAAGUGACUGCUUCACAAUAUUGUCCGCUGCACUUUUUCAAUUGAAUCGUUUGUCUGGAACUAGGUUCCUUUUUGCUUCUUUGUCAGGAUUUUGUUUGUAUGGCUCUUGUUUCACGAGUGGACAGUCUUUGAUAAAAUGCCCUGGCUUUCCGCACCUGUGACAGAGAUCAUUGUUCUUUUCUUUACUUGAACUUCUCCUCUUUGGUAUACCUCCAUUUCUUCGAACCAUCUUUUGAAAUCUUUUAGUAAGAUAGGCCAUGUCACUAUCUUCAUUACUUGAGCCACUGCUUUCAGCUUUGAGUACCAGGUUCUUUUCCUUCUUAGGCUCUCUCCUUUCACUGUCUUUCUUUCUUUUCAUCUUGUAUGUCUUCAGAUUACUAAUCAACUCAUCCAUGGUUAGACUUUGUAGAUCUUUAGUUUCAGUGAUGGCAUUUACCUUACUUUCCCAAGAACCAGGUAGAACACUGAGGAUUUUCCUUACAAACUUGUUUCUGGGAAUGACAUUUCCAAGUAAAUGAAGCUCAUUUAUGAUGGAGGUGAAUCCGGUGUGCAUAUCUUGUAUAGACUCAUCAUCGUUCAUCCUAAAGAGCUCAUACUCUGUGGUGAGCAUGUCAAUCUUGGACUGUUAACAUGAGUAGUUCCUUCGUGUGCGGUUUGCAAUACCUCCCAUAUUUCUUUGGCAGUAUCACACGUUGAGACUCUAUUGUACUCAUCAGGUCCUAUGCCACAUACCAAGAUUUUUUUGGCACGAUAGUUCUUUUCUACGGCUUUUCUAUCAAUGUCGAUGUACUCUUUUCUGUCUUUCGACACUAUUGGUCCAGUUUCUUCAAGCUUCUUCAUAGGAACAUAUGAACCAUCACAAAUGAUGUCCCAUAGUUCUGAAUCUUCGGCAAUUAUUAAGUCAUGCAUGCGAGUCUUCCACUAGCCAUAGUAUUGACCGUUGAAUCUAGGAGGUUUGUAGGUUGAUUAUCCUUCCUCAAAGUUAGGUGGAUCAGCCAUUGAGAUCCUUUCUAGGUAUUAAUCUUUUAGAAAGAACCUGCUCUGAUACCAAUUGUUAGCUUGUAUGAGUCCAUCAAACUGUAGAGUACCUGGUCCUCUAUGAGAUAAUACUGAGAAUGCUAAUAAAACUGAAAGUAAAGAAGACAAGGGAUUUUUACGCGGAAAAAAUCCCACACAAGGGAAUCAAAAAACCACGACCUACACUUGUAGGCUUUUAACUUCACUAACUUGCAAUCUCACUAUUACAAGUCACUUUGCAAUAACCCUAUUACAAAGACUUCAACUAACUUGUGAUUCUCUCACCACAAGCUACUUUAUAACUCUCGUAGUUACAAAGACUUUAAACUUAUGACUAAUCCUAGCCACAACAAAAACUUGGAAGUUUACAGAUUUUUUGGUUUUCCUAAGACAAAGCUUCUAAGAAAGCAAGAUAGGAGAUAUAAUGAAGAACAAAUAACAAGAUUACAAUUCAACUAUGGAUAUAUAUAAACUCAUUAAGAAAUUGAUCCUUAGUGGAGUUGUCUUCUUGUUCUUGACGCAUCAGUGACUUCAAUGUCGGAUGAACACUGUUAUGCUUGAGAGAAUAUCACUGAAUGCACACAGAUGUUGUGCCUUGCAUCAGGUUGUUAUAUCACAAAAGACAUCACAAUAGAUAGUGAUGUCAAUUCUUGGUACACGCUUCUUCCCAAUGAGAAGUGACUGUUGCACUGUCUGCACAGUCACUUCUAUGCAGUUGUGUUCCAGCUAUAUAGUUAGAGCUGUCAAAACGGGCUAUCCUAGCUCAACCCAGCCCAAGCCUCGUGGGCUUUUAAAUUUGGUGGGCUAGGGCGGGCUGGCCCUCCAUCUAUAUGGGCCUUAAAAUGGCUAGCCCAGCCCAGCCCUAAGAGGGCCGCAAGCUAGGGCGGCCGACCCUUCAACUUUUUUAGAAAAAAAUAUUUCUUCAAAUUUUUAGAUAUUUUUUCGUGACAUAAUCUUUUAAUCAUAUGAACGACUUCUGUUUAUUUAGAGUGUACAAGAAUCUUGAUAUUCGAUAAGGAAUCUCGUAAUUGAAAUGCAAAUUCUCUAUAUCUCUAGCUCUUCUUUUUUAAUGUUACAUGAAUUAUUUUUUAAUACUUUUCUUACACUUUCCUUAGAUUCAGGUAGUGCUUCGAUAAGUUUAUAUGUUAAGGUUUUUAAUGUAGGUUUAACAUUAUUUGUUGAUUUCAUCAUUAUAGUCCAUGAAAUUUUUAAAAUUCAUGAAAUUUUUAAAAUUCAUGAAAUUUGCUAGUGUUUUUCAAUUUUCUUUUGGUAUUAAAACUUGACCUUAUUUUAUACUGAAGAGCAAUUUAAUAAUUAAUAAUAUAUUAAAGUAACUAAACUGAUCAUUGGCCACUUAAAGAAAUAUUUCUUUUGAAAAAAAUUACUAUUGGCCACUUAAAACUUUCCUAGUUCGUUGUUAACUAAGCAAAAGAAAAACUAAUCUUGUCAUACUACAUGCAUAUCAAAAAUAUAGAUUCUAGUUGAUAAGGAAGGAUAAAUGAGAAUUCUAAGGUUGGAAAAUGUAGAUUAUAGUUAAUAUUUUUUUAGUUUUUACUUUUUUUAAAUAUUUAAAUAUAAAUGUAAUUAAUUUUUGGCCCACGGGCCAGCCUCGGUCAAGCCUCAAGGGCCAGCGAGCUGACUUGGGCCGGGAUUAUAAGCCUCAAUUUUAAAUGGGCUAAAACAAUCCCAACUCAGCCCUACCCAAGUAGUGGGCUGGGUUGGGGCCAUGCCCAUUUUGACGGCUCUAUGUAUAGUUGACUUGUACUUCUGUCAGAAAAUACUAAGGGACCAAGUCCCAGUUGUGUUCCUCUUUUGUAACAGUUGCGAGAUAGUCACUUUCUGUUGUUACAUUCCAGCUGUACAAUUGACUUGUACUUCUGUCAGAGAACUCUAAGAGACCAGGUCCCUAUUGUGUUCCUCUUUAUAAUAAUUGCGGACAGUCACUGACUUGUACUUCUGUCGGAGAACCCUAAGGGACCAGAUCACCAGGUCCUUGUUGUGUUCCUCCUUGUGGUUGUUCAUUCAUUUGCUGGAGACCAGAUUGGACAUUAUUCAUUUGAAAUGUAUACCGCGUGGUCAGGUUCUCUAUCUGGUUCUUCAAUAAGUUUGUUAGAUCAUCAAAACAUAAGAAGCAUAAGGCAAAGACAUUGAAAACCCAUCAGAAAGGAUUUGGAUUUUUGUGAAACUGUUGAUGCUUGUCAAGACUUGUGCCUUACACCCCUGAUGCUAUAUCCUCAAGUAAGUAUGCCAAAGCCUGUGGCUAUAGAGUGGUGCAAGGCUAAUCUGUUAUACUGUGUGUGGCAAAUUGAUAACAAGUAUUUUGUGUAUGUUAUUUUCCACUUGGGAGAGGGUUUGAUUCGAAUUUAUGAUAGCAAUGUCAGUUUGUAUUGUCACACCUCCUUCUUCCGCCCUGAGGGGUUUUCACUAAUAACUCUCUCAUUUCUCUCAACUCCCGUCGCCUCAUGGUGCCCGUGAAGGUUUUAACCAAUGAGACUCUCUCAUUUUAUUUUAUUUUUCAGCUGGGGAUUGGAGCGUGCCGAUACGAUGCUCUUUGGUGGGGAUUCUUCCGGCUAUCAAUUCGUUUCCAGUUUUUUGAUCCUUUUCUCUGCUGGGGAUCAGAGUGUUGCUCCUGACUUCCACGUGCAUGAACUUGGCACUUCUCGAAUACUGAUCGGGAGGUCUUUUUUGGACAUCAAUAUGGUUUUUUAUGUAUGGCUAAAAAAAAGAAAAAGGGGUAUCAAAAGGCUCAAAAUAAUUU
rnacentral:lncRNA from 1 species